ncrna:unclassified sequences ssNA-helicase RNA
UGCGAUAGGGGUAGUAUUACCCCCUAUCGUAGCAAUGUAGCAGUAGCA